UCCUCAGUUCACCAUGGUAGGCACUGCCCUCUGAAACAAGCUCAUGAAUAGCAGGCUGGAGCAUGUAAAAGGGAUGCCUCUUCCUGUGUCCUCUAAACUGUGUAAUGAAUGGUGUCCUGGGAAACCACUGUAUCUUCACACAAAUAGUUCCUGUGGAAGGAUGCUGGAGAAGGCAAUGCAAGGACUCACAAGACAGCUGCUAAAGACCAAAGGAAUCAAAGCAUUUCAUGCCCCAUGGAGCUUUUUUAUAUGCACAUUUCAAUUCUGUGACUUGUAAACUUCACCAGAGCCAUGCAAAAUGGAUCUCACGGAACUGUUCGGAGCAAGAUGAUAUUUAAAUCUCCUUUUCUGUACACAAGGAGAUGAC